UGUCGUCAGCUCGUGUUGUGAAAUGUUGGGUUAAGUCCCGCAACGAGCGCAACCCUUAUCCUUUGUUGCCAGCACGUCAUGGUGGGAACUCAAAGGAGACUGCCGGUGAUAAACCGGAGGAAGGUGGGGAUGACGUCAAGUCAUCAUGGCCCUUACGAGUAGGGCUACACACGUGCUACAAUGGCAGAUACAAAGUGAAGCGAACUCGCGAGAGCAAGCGGACCACAUAAAGUCUGUCGUAGUCCGGAUUGGAGUCUGCAACUCGACUCCAUGAAGUCGGAAUCGCUAGUAAUCGUAGAUCAGAAUGCUACGGUGAAUACGUUCCCGGGCCUUGUACACACCGCCCGUCACACCAUGGGAGUGGGUUGCAAAAGAAGUAGGUAGCUUAACCUUCGGGAGGGCGCUUACCACUUUGUGAUUCAUGACUGGGGUGAAGUCGUAACAAGGUAACCGUAGGGGAACCUGCGGUUGGAUCACCUCCU
rnacentral:rRNA from 1 species